rnacentral:rRNA from 1 species
GCCUUAGUGGCGCACGGGUGCGUAACGCGUGGGAAUCUGCCCUUUGGUUCGGAAUAACAGCUGGAAACGGCUGCUAAUACCGGAUGAUGACGAGAGUCCAAAGAUUUAUCGCCAGAGGAUGAGCCCGCGUUGGAUUAGGUAGUUGGUGGGGUAAAGGCCUACCAAGCCGACGAUCCAUAGCUGGUCUGAGAGGAUGAUCAGCCACACUGGGACUGAGACACGGCCCAGACUCCUACGGGAGGCAGCAGUGGGGAAUAUUGGACAAUGGGCGCAAGCCUGAUCCAGCAAUGCCGCGUGAGUGAUGAAGGCCCUAGGGUUGUAAAGCUCUUUUACCCGGGAAGAUAAUGACUGUACCGGGAGAAUAAGCCCCGGCUAACUCCGUGCCAGCAGCCGCGGUAAUACGGAGGGGGCUAGCGUUGUUCGGAAUUACUGGGCGUAAAGCGCACGUAGGCGGCUUUGUAAGUCAGAGGUGAAAGCCUGGAGCUCAACUCCAGAACUGCCUUUGAGACUGCAUCGCUUGAAUCCAGGAGAGGUCAGUGGAAUUCCGAGUGUAGAGGUGAAAUUCGUAGAUAUUCGGAAGAACACC